rnacentral:lncRNA from 1 species
UUUUUCACUUUGAAAAAGCCAAAGGCGUGGAAAAAAAAAAAAACCAAAGCCCCAACCCAACAAGUGAAAGUUGGUUGAAUGAACUAAUACAUACAUGCUUAUCUGUAUGUAUAUGUAUAGAUAUCGAUAUAGAUACAUAAAUUAUAUUUAUAAGCUGAUUGUGACUGCGUGCUUUGGUAAGUAACUCCUUGUUCCCCUUUUGGGAUGUAUUUAUAUAUUUUUGAGCUUGGUGCCCUAGGUGUUGUCGAUAAUUUGAGCUGUGGAUCUUGUCCUUUGUACUUUAUUGCGUGAUUUAGGGAUCGAUCAAGUGAACAUGUAACUUAUGAAUCGCUAAUUUUUAUUUUGUUUUUAAAUUUUUACUGUCGAAUUGUUUACUGUAGCUUAGUUAUUUUGGAGGUAAUUUUCAUUUUUUUUAGUUUGAGGGUGAAUUUUUGUGAUUUUCUAUUUUGUUCGUGUUUUAGUGUAUUCUACUCUUUUGGCUGCUUUAUUAGAUUAGUGAUGAAGUAUGGAGCUUGUUUUUUUGAUUUUACUUACGGUGUUGAGAUUUAAGUUUAGCUAUGUUUUUAUGGAACAAAGGGAGAAAUUUGACACAAUUGGACCUUUUCUUUUUCUUGCAGGGGCUGAUUGGAAAAGUGGAUAAAGAUAGUUCCUUGAGCAGAAAAAGAGAAGCUU